GAAUGAGGUAUUACCUGAAUGUAUACUAUCGACUGAGGUAUUACCUGAAUGUAUACUAUCGACUGAGGUAUUACCUGAAUGUAUACUAUCGACUGAGGUAUUACCUGAAUGUAUACUAUCGACUGAGGUAUUACCUGAAUGUAUACUAUCGACUGAGGUAUUACCUGAAUGUAUACUAUCGACUGAGGUAUUACCUGAAUGUAUACUAUCGACUGAGGUAUUACCUGAAUGUAUACUAUCGACUGAGGUAUUACCUGAAUGUAUACUAUCGACUGGACUCGUUUAACUGUUGUCAGGUCUAUUGUCUCUAGGUAUUAAACAUUAAACUAAUGCUGUGUUGUCAGGUC